rnacentral:rRNA from 4 species
UAAACGACUCUCGGCAACGGAUAUCUCGGCUCUCGCAUCGAUGAAGAACGUAGCGAAAUGCGAUACUUGGUGUGAAUUGCAGAAUCCCGCGAACCAUCGAGUCUUUGAACGCAAGUUGCGCCCGAAGCCAUUAGGUCGAGGGCACGUCUGCCUGGGCGUCUCAC